UCACCCAGGCUGGAGUACAGUGGCACAAUCUCGGCUCACUGCAACCUCCACCUCCCGGGUUCAAGCGAUUCUUCUGCCUCAGCCUCCUGAGUAGAUGGGACUACAGUACUGAAGUGAAAGAUGCAGGUUAAGCCACUUAGCUGUGCCCACACCCUCGGGAAGAAUGAAAAGGGAUGAUACAUUGCAGAAAAUGUCCUACUGUGAGACAAUCAAACCCACAUCAAGGCUUCAGAGAACAAAACAAGAAUUUGCUUCUCGCCUCAGGAAAACUAUGAAUCCUUAUUAAGGUGCAUAGGUGAUGGAGGUGCUGGAAUGACAAGAGCAUUGAGGAGACUGUGAAAAAUCAGUGGCAGUUGAAGAUGUUGGAAAUACUCACCAUUGAGUCUGCCUUCUCAGUACCAUGGAGAGAAGCCUACACUAAGCAAAGGAGUAUUGACUAUUUGGAAGGAUGAAAUAGGUUACCUAUAAGUUGUCAAACAAUAAAUUCUCCAAAGUGUUCAAGAGACUUUUUUUCUUAGUAAUAAAGGAGAAAAAACCUUUUCUUUCAUAUAAUGAGAUAAGAUUGAUGCUUACGUAGUUUGGGCUAUGGAUCUCCUUUUGUUUGAAAAUUUCUAAUGAAUAUUUGGCAGUCAUGCUUACUACCUACCUAAAGAACAAACACUUCCUUAUGAUGUGGAGACAUAAUUAAACUGGAAGGUGGCAAAACUGGUACUGAAAGAAGGAGCAUUCGCUGGGCAGCUGAUUCUAUAUAUUAGUGGGAUUUUCAAUUUCAUCCUGGCUUCACUUCUACUUAUUUCUGUACUCUGCAGUGGAUAGAAAUUGAAAAUCAAUCCCUCAAUCUAUGUUGAAAGUAAGAAAAAAAAUUAGAAUAACUUUGACUAUUUUUAAAAUCUAUCAUUCAUGGAACGUUAACUACAUAAAACCAAGAAACAUAAAAAUGCAAGAAGAAACCACCAUUAUUCACUGUUUUGUUUUAAGGUGUGACUCAUUGUUCAAUUUUCUUUUAUAUUACAAAUAUUCUCCUUCUCCAUGUCUUUGUACCAUAAGAAACUUUUUAAAAAUAAAAAAACUAUAAUAAAAAUUAUAAGACACUGUAAAUGAAUGGUUAUAGUCAUCUGAAUUUUCUCUGACCCUUAGAAUUAAGGAAAAAAAAACACACAAUAGUUAUGGCCAAUAAUAAUUCCUCCUUCUUUGAGGAAAUACAACAGUUUUAGA